UCGACAUUCGACUCGGCUCCUUUGAUAACGUGAGGACGAUAACGUCUGAGAAGUGUAUAGCAGUUUAAUGUCAUCAGCCCGGAGGUAUGGAGUUCGACGCUCUUUUCCGAUAAAUCAGUCGGCGCGCGAUUUCGAAUCGGCCAUAAUGAUACGACUAAUCAUCAAAGAAUUUCGCAAUUCUUGCGAAAAAUCAUGAAGGCAAAUAUCAUAUUUUAUAAGAAGAUUUUAUGGCGUUACGAUAGUGAAUUUGAGAAAUAUUCGAAAAUUUAACGAUCUAUCGUUCUAUUUAUAUCUAACGAUCUAUCCUUCAUCAUUCGAAAUGCGAACUUUGUAUCGUUCCCUGUACUUGGAAAAUUGGAACAGGGAGCGGAUACGCGAACAGGAAGUGGUCGGUACCACCGCGCCUCGCUGCCGGCAAUUACACGGACCCACACGGCCGUCUCUAUCAACUCGGCUUCGCGCAACCGUAUUCUCUCUCUUUCUCUCUCUCUCUAUCUCGCUCUCUCUCUCUCUCUCUCUUGCGAGUAAGCGAGCGAAUGAACGAGCGCGCGCGUAUUCUCACUUCGUAUGGGUGUGAGUAAACCUUCUCUCAGUAAUGCGUAUGGUGGCCACAUACUCGGACACAUGGACGAGACCGGAUGAAAAAAAACCAACGAUUUUUUUUCUCUCUUUCUUUCUUUCCCGGCCCAACCAACCAACGGUGGUCGGCUCACCUUGAUAAUGCGAGAUAUCACGCGAAUACACGAAUACAUGCAUAACAUGUCUUUCGAUUGUGUAUAUACGUGAGAGAGAGAGAGAGAGAGAGAGAGAGAGAGAAAAGAAAGAAACAGAAAGAGAGAAAGAAAUGAAUAUAUAUCUGGGAGAGUGGACAGUGUCGAUUCGAUCUCGACUUGUUUUUAUA